GCAUCCUGGGUGCCUUGAGAGAGCAAUAAGCCCCACUGAGACAUGGACAGGCACUUCAGCUCACAAGGAAGGACUGUUCUCUCUAACACCAGUGCUCAGUCAUGGCCCAUCUUCAGGUACCUCUUUCAGCCAGUGGAAACUGUUCAGCACCUGACAGAGGAUUAUUCAGGCCGUGCACUUUACACACUGAUGACCAUGUGGUGCCCUGAGAAACUGAUCUGCCUUUGCUGACGCUGUGGAGGGAUGGACACUCCUUUCCAAAUUGAUGCUGCAACAGUGCCUGCAACACAGUGCAGGCAGAGUGCUCAGUGGCAGCUGGCUGGGAGAGCAGAGAAUUCAGCGCACAGUAACCCACCCCACUUCUGAGAUAUUUAUAAAAUCCUCCCUUGGCUACCUUGUUUCCCAGCUGAAGAGUUCCAGUCUGCUUAAUUCUCUUACAAAAGCUCUUCCUUGCUUCUGACCACCCCUGUCAAAGAUGCAUGAGACACAGUGCAAGCAUAUGAAUUGAGAGCAGAGCUGCUGACUGGUCUCACGGUGACUGACAUGCAACCUCUUGGUGAAGUCAUUAGCCAUGGAUGCAAAAGGGAGCAUUCUUGUGCAUUGUUUCCUUCAUUUAUCUCACCAGCUGUAUUUAUGGACUUGCAGAAUGCUUUCUACAGUUUGCAAAUGACUGCCUCAUACAGCUCUCUCCAUCUUUAAGAUUUUUAUGAUGUGGAGACAAUCCAGCGUCUAGACCAAUAAUGACAGCUCACAUCUCAGUCAAGCCUUUUCUUAAUUGUCCAUGGGGCUGCCAAGGAAAUCUAAACAUUCAUACAAACAGCAGCAUUACUAAAAAGACUUUGACCAGCUGGCAUCUUUCCCUGCCAGUCCUGGGGCAGCUUCAUACUGUAUAUUUCCUAGAGCUCAAUCCAGUCUGGUCUUAAAAUAGCUCAAAUGAUGGUAGUUCCCUGAAAAAAGAGAGUAUCUGCAGAAAAUGUAAUGCCUUCUGACUCUGUCCAUUGGGGUAAAGCUUUGUUACUCCUUUACUCACAUGUUGACCUCUCAGCUUUUUUGAAAUCGUGUGGCAGGGCCAGAGUUUUGGAGUUCCUUCUCCCACACUGAUGGAGCCACAUCUCUCAUGUUGAAGCUCCAGAGCCAUGGGAUGUUCCAGUGUCAGCUGCAAAGUGUCCCUGAUCCCAUUUAGGAUCUACAGGAGCUACCAUAGUGCAAAAAUAUCAUUGUCUCAAAAAAUCAUAGUUUGUAUGGGAGAAAGUUUGGCUGUCCCACAAAGACAUAUACUUAUGCAAUCCCUUUCUUAAGCUGUAUUCUGUUCUUCUGGACCCUCAGCAUCGCCCGAAGAAGAUUAUGUCCUUUGUUUGCAGCACAGAUUUCUGUCACUUCUUUUCCCAGCCAGCUGUCCUGCAAAUUGGUGAUUUUCUCAAUCUUCCACAGUUUCUCCAGCUCACUUUAUCUCUGUUCUCCCACUUUGGCUGUGUACCAUUGCCAAAAGCAGGUCCAAGGCCAAGUGUUGUGAUACAGGUGUGACUGUAUCAUCAGCCCUGACAAAUCCUUCCCUAAAUUUCUUCAAGACUGAGAUCCUUGCAAAGAUUGUCAUGAAAUCCUAAGACCACAUGGUCUUGUGCUUUUGUGUUCGUCUCUCUAUAUCCACCUAUUUUUGUAUUGCAGGAGAUAGUAAAUUGCUUGGUAUGGGGUUUUACUCUUAAUUUUGUGGUUUAAAUAACAUCAGGCAAAAUGAGAUAGGAGUGGGGAAGGGAAGGAGUCUGGUUCCUCAGUGUUCCCUCCAUGGCAAUGAAUAUUAAUAAGAUGAAGAAACAAACUGCCCAUCUCUUGCACUUACAGGAAGAACCCCACCUCAUCAGCCCAGACCUUGUGUACCCCAUUCCAGCAGGGCCUAAGCUUCACUUGAAGUACAACUCAAGCUAUACUUUGUGGCAUUAAAUGGGAGUUAAGUACUGAGCAAAUGUUAUGCAAAGUCUGUGCAGAGAGGGAAAUUUCACCACAGCAGCAUUAUCAGGGAUCGCUGACUCAACUGCUGCAGCACCUCAUUUUCAAUUGCACAAAAGCUGAAGGAUCCAGACUUCGAUGCUGGGGGGCCAGGGGCUUCAGGGUUUUGGUUGGGGCCUAUGUCCCCUUGCAAAUUACCCUUUGAAGACGCAAGCAAAGCUGUGGGCUUUAUAUAAUAUAUAAUAUGAGACAUUUUACUGCAGAUGGGUUGGGGUUUUAAAAUAACAUGAUACCAUGCAAUGAGCAGCUAGGAAACAGAGUUAGAGACAGUGCCACUCCAAGCCUUGCCCACUGGAAGACAGCAGCAGAGCCAAGAAUUAAACCCAAGGCUCCCAAGACCCAGACUAGCAACUGAGCCGCAGGAUCAUUCCUCUACCCCUCCUACAAUCACAGCAAUCGCCCCAUCUGAGAGCCUGCAAGUUCCCUGCUGUACCAGGACCCCUCAGGCAGAGUAGCCUUCCAAAACAUCCCUACCAGAAAGACUGAAACAAUGCUGGGGCUUGUCCCUGUGGAACAGAAAGUGCUCUGUCUGCCACCCAAGACAUAAUCUUUCUACACCUCACUGCCAGGCUUGCUGGCAAAGCCCAAGGAAGGUGCAGUUGCUUCCAACUUCUAAGUAUUCAGCUUCCUUUCUCAGAUACUAGAAACACAGGGAGAUCAGUUUUCUUCGUCCUCUACAAAGAUUCUUCCCACACCACUAAAAAAAAUGCAAUCAUCCCAUUUCAUCUGCGCAGUAAGAGAAGGAACAUACCAGCCCUGCAUGCCAUCAGGUUGUCAAUGUCAUGGAGUAUGGGAGGUGAAAUUGGAAGUUGAAAUGCACGAUACCCUGGAUAAGAAAGCAUCAGGCUGGGCAAGUCCAUCAAAAAGAGCUUUCACCAGUGUUCAUGGUCACCAUGUGUUUUCUUUGGUUUCUGAUAACCCCAUGGAAGCA